rnacentral:rRNA from 1 species
GGAACUAGUAACGGCGAGUUGUCCGGCAACAGGUCAAAUUUGAAAUCUGGCCCUGGCCCGAGUUGUAAUUUGCAGAGGAUGCUUCUGGUGACGUGCCUUCGGAGUCCCCUGGAACGGGGCGCCAUAGAGGGUGAGAGCCCCGUAUCGUUGUGCACCGAGCCUCUGUGUAGCACCUUCGACGAGUCGAGUAGUUUGGGAAUGCUGCUCAAAAUGGGAGGUAAACUUCUUCUAAAGCUAAAUACCGGCCAGAGACCGAUAGCGCACAAGUAGAGUGAUCGAAAGAUGAAAAGCACUUUGAAAAGAGGGUUAAACAGUACGUGAAACAAUUGAAAAGGAAGCACUUGUGACCAGACUUGUGCUGUAUGAAUCAUCUCGCGUUUUCGCGGGUGCACUUUGUACGGUUCAGGCCAGCAUCGGUUUUUCCAGGGGGACAAAAGCUUAGGGAACGUGGCUCUCUCGGGAGUGUUAUAGCCCUUUGCACAAUACCUUUGGAGAGACCGAGGUUCGCGCUCUGCAAGGAUGCUGGCGUAAUGGUCAUCAGUGGCCCGUCUUGAAACACGGACCAAGGAGUCAAGCAUUAGGGCGAGUGUUUGGGUGUAAAACCCGCACGCGUAAUGAAAGUGAACGUAGGUGAGAGCUUCGGCGCAUCAUCGACCGAUCCUGAUGUAUUCGGAUGGAUUUGAGUAAGAGCCUUACGCUUGGACCCGAAAAUGGUGAACUAUGCUUGUAUAGGGUGAAGCCAGAAGAAACUCUGGUGGAGGCUCGCACGGUUC